UGGGGAAUAUUGCGCAAUGGGGGGAACCCUGACGCAGCCACGCCGCGUGAAUGAAGAAGGCCUUCGGGUUGUAAAGUUCUUUCGGUAUUGAGGAAGGUUGAUGUGUUAAUAGCACAUCAAAUUGACGUUAAAUACAGAAGAAGCACCGGCUAACUCCAUGCCAGCAGCCGCGGUAAUACGGAGGGUGCGAGCGUUAAUCGGAAUAACUGGGCGUAAAGGGCACGCAGGCGGUUAUUUAAGUGAGGUGUGAAAGCCCCGGGCUUAACCUGGGAAUUGCAUUUCAGACUGGGUAACUAGAGUACUUUAGGGAGGGGUAGAAUUCCACGUGUAGCGGUGAAAUGCGUAGAGAUGUGGAGGAAUACCGAAGGCGAAGCNAGCCCCUUGGGAAUGUACUGACGCUCAUGUGCGAAAGCGUGGGGAGCAGACAGGAUUAGAUACCCUGGUAGUCCACGCUGUAAACGCUGUCGAUUUGGGGGUUGGGGUUUAACUCUGGCGCCCGUAGCUAACGUGAUAAAUCGACCGCCUGGGGAGUACGGCCGCAAGGUUA
rnacentral:rRNA from 1 species